CGGCUUGCUUGUUUUGUCAGCUUGUGGGAGGUUCCGGAGGGCAGGGCAGGGAAGGGCAGGGUCGGGGAGGGGCAGUGUCUGCGCGAAAGCGGGCUUUAUCCCAGCUGUAGAGAGGCCAGUCUAGGGGUCGGGGACUUCGCCGCCUGCGGGGACCGCCUGGGGACCUCUGUGUCUGCGACUGCCCGGGCCGCUCAGCUGUCAUCACUUCGCUCCACCGAGAGGCUCCUAUGGCGGCGGCCGCGCCCAGGGACUCAGCUGAGAUGCAGCUCCCAUGUGGGCCUUUAUAUGCAGGUGAAGCAGAACUGAGAGACCCACAUGUCACCAUCAAGGAGAUGAAGGGAUGAAUGCCAGGGAGCCUGAAGAGACCGGUGUAGAGGUGUCCAUCAGACCAUAUUGAUGGUUCAUAAUAGGGUUCUUCAAAAAGACAAAAUGGAAGAAAGUAAAAGGACACCAACAUA